GAAAGUGCUCAUGCAUCACUCGCAGCGAGCUGCGAGGAGCUUCGUGCGAGGACUGGAAAUCCGCCUUUAUGUUAUAAUCCACACUGGACAGUGAUAGGUUGGCAAUCGUCAGGUUUCAUUUCCGACCUGAAUUCUGAGGCCUGAGUCAAUAAAUGUGUUUUUUUUUUAAUUCAUAGAACAUCCCUUACGUAUUUGUGCGUUCCAAGCAAGCAUUGGGUCGGGCAUGUGGGGUGUCACGACCAGUUAUUGCAGCCGCAGUCACAGUGAACGAGGGUUCGCAACUCAAACCGCAGAUUCAGACAUUACAGAAUGCUAUAGAAAAACUUCUUAUUUAAUUAAGUUUGUAAAUUUUUCUUCGUCAUUUAGUUGUAUAAUAAACUAAUAUUGUGUAUUUGGA